AUGAACGCUGGCGGCGUGCUUAACACAUGCAAGUCGAACGGACUCGUAUUGAAACCUAGUGAUAUAUGAGUUAGUGGCGGACGGGUGAGUAACGCGUGGAUAACCUGCCGUAUACAGGGGGAUAACACUUAGAAAUAGGUGCUAAUACCGCAUAAGCGCACAGCUUUGCAUGAAGCAGUGUGAAAAGCAAAAGUUAAAACUUUUGACGGUAUACGAUGGAUCCGCGUCUGAUUAGCCAGUUGGCGGGGUAACGGCCCACCAAAGCGACGAUCAGUAGCCGGCCUGAGAGGGCGGACGGCCACAUUGGGACUGAGACACGGCCCAGACUCCUACGGGAGGCAGCAGUGGGGAAUAUUGCACAAUGGGGGAAAUCCUGAUGCAGCGACGCCGCGUGAGUGAAGAAGUAAUUCGUUACGUAAAGCUCUAUCAGCAGGGAAGAAAUACUGACCUUACGGUCAGCAGACGGUACCUGAGUAAGAAGCCCCGGCUAACUACGUG
rnacentral:rRNA from 1 species